UACGUAGGGCGCAAGCGUUGUCCGGAAUUAUUGGGCGUAAAGAGCUCGUAGGCGGCCUGUCGCGUCUGCUGUGAAAUCCCGGGGCUCAACCCCGGGCCUGCAGUGGAUACGGGCUGGCUGGAGGCAGGCAGGGGAGAACGGAAUUCCUGGUGUAGCGGUGAAAUGCGUAGAGAUCCGGAGGAACACCAAAGGCGAAGGCAGUGUCCUGGGGAGUACCUGACGCUCAGGUGCGAAAGCCAGGGGAGCGAACGGG
rnacentral:rRNA from 1 species